GAUGAACGCUGGCGGCGUGCUUAACACAUGCCAGUCGAACGAGAAGUGAAGACGGAUACCUUCGGGCGGAAGGCUUUAUUUCGAGUGGCGGACGGGUGAGUAACGCGUGGGUAACCUGCCUCAUACAGGGGGCUAACAGUUGGAAACGACUGGUAAUACCGCAUCAGACCACAGCACCGCAUGGUGCGGGGGUAAAGACUCCGGUGGUAUGAGAUGGACCCGCGUUCGAUUGGCCAGUUGGCGGGGUAACGGCCGGCCAAAGCGACGAUCGAUACCCGAGCUGAGAGGCGGACCGGCCACAUCGGGGCUGCGACACGGCCCAAACUCCUACGGGAGGGAGCAGUGGAGAAUAUUGCACAAUGGGGGAAACCCUGAUGCAGCGACGCCGCGUGAGUGAAGAAGUAUUUCGGUAUGUAAAGCUCUAUCAGCAGGGAAGAAAAUGACGGUACCUGAGUAAGAAGCCCCGGCUAACUACGUG
rnacentral:rRNA from 1 species